AUCGAACGCUGGCGGCAGGCCUAACACAUGCAAGUCGAACGAGUGGCGGACGGGUGAGUAACGUCUGGGAAACUGCCUGAUGGAGGGGGAUAACUACUGGAAACGGUAGUUAAUACCGCAUCCCACAGGUGGUCCCCAGGUGGGAUUAGCUAGUGGGUGGGGUAAAGGCUCACCUAGGCGACGAUCCCUAACUGGUCUGAGAGGAUGACCAGCCACACUGGAACUGAGACACGGUCCAGACUCCUACGGGAGGCAGCAGUGGGGAAUAUUGCACAAUGGGCGCAAGCCUGAUGCAGCCAUGCCGCGUGUAUGAAGAAGGUCUUCGGGUUGUAAAGUACUUUCAGCGGGGAGGCGUUACCCGCAGAAGAAGCACCGGCUAACUCCGUGCCAGCAGCCGCGGUAAUUC
rnacentral:rRNA from 1 species